ensembl:lncRNA
AUUCCAAGCAGUUAUAAUCACACUGCUAAUACAGUUUUUGAUUUUCCAUCGAUAUUUAAAUACUUUAUGUAGUUAUUUUUUUUUUAAGAUGAUAAUCUAGACCAUCUAGAUCUUAGCUUGUUUCUCUAAAGAGAAGAUGAAUCCUUCUAUUCAGAUCAGAAAUCUAUUUCACUGGUGCCCUAGCUUCACAAGUGAUCAAGAGAAGCAGAAAACCUCUUCCCAGCUCUGGCUGCCUCUGGAUGUGCUGGCUGGCAAAGCAACAGCGUAAUCAAGACCACCUCACCAGCCUGCUACCAGCCCUGACCAGGUGAUGAACAUACACUUAAAAAGGCAUCACUGGAUUAAAUUUGCGUUGUCUGGGAUAUCUGAACAUCUCCAUGAAGGAAAUCUUGUUACAGAAGGAAGAUGCAAAGUAUGACAUCAGCAAUAAGGAAUUUUGUAGAUUUACUUGUUCUUAAUGUAUUGGCAUUGUUCUUUAUAAAGGAAGCUGAACCUUUGCCAGUCUUCACAAUUUCUUGAAAAUCAGAUUCUAUCAGAUCCUUACUCUUCAGUAUGAGAAACUACAUCACCGAAAAUUUGUUAUUGAUCUUCUUAGCUUUUACAUUUUUGAGGCCAGAGGGAAACGAUCCAGGGAAUAAAGGUAGAUUUAUUUC